rnacentral:tmRNA from 1 species
CCCCUUCUAUUCCCGGGCAGCACAGACUAUAUUGGUCCUGUCCGGGUUCGCCCGGACUAUGGCGAUAAACGCGCUUGUAAUAAGCGGACCGGACCCGGGUGCGAUUCCCGGCGGCUCCACCAUUCCUUCCCCGCGUUAUCGGCGGAGCGAGCAUGCCGUCCUGGCCCACCGUAUCGGGCCAUUUUCUAACUGCGAACGAUAACUUCGCUGGAGAAGUCCGCCUCGCCGCGUAAUGCGGUUCGGUUGAUUUCGAACACUUAAGUCCUCAGGGAUCAGUUCCUGGGGCGGGGCCGCCAGGGGGCCUGCCAACAGAACCCCUGGCACU